AGAAGGAAACUGCUUUGGAAUUCGUGUAAUUGGGACUGGGGGAUCAGGGAGAAGUUGCCGAAACCUCUCAUACCAGUGACUACUGAAGUAGAAGAUUCUGGAAAAAUCCUUGCCUUGGGGGCACAGGCUAAAACCUGAAGGAUUUUUAAGAUGACCAAGGUUCCAGCCACCAAGAAGCUUCAGAGUUCCCCCAACGCGGGGGCUGUCCGGCCCUUUUGUGCCUCGGAGAACCUAAGGCAGGUCCCAGACAAGCCAAUGAAGAGCAUCAAGUAUAUGGACAAGGAAAUAAUAAACCUCAAAAAGGACCUUAUACGAAGCCGCUUUUUGAUCCAGUCUGUGAAGACAGGCCGUGGAUAUUUUGCUAUUCUGAGGGAAGAGACUGCAAAGAAAAAGAAGCAACAACAACUUCAGAAACUGAAAGAGGAGGAAAGAAAUAAAUUCCAGCCAGCCGAAAAGAUCUCAGAAAUCCACUAUGGGGACACCUUAUUGAGCACAUAUGAUGAUGAGAAGCUGAAGACGCUGGGAGCUAGAGUCACGCGUCGCCCAUUCACUCCCAUCCACAGCUGCAUCAUUUCUCCCUCGCUACCCGAGGCUCACGUCCCUCAUCGAGUGUGUGCGAGAACAUCUCAGCCUGUGCUCAGGGGCACGUUUUCCCCAAGACUCAAGGAGCUGUUUCCCAGAGAAGCCCCUCCAGUUUUCUGACCCGAGGCAUGAACUCAUCAUUGCAUGGUGCAAUGGGAACUAAUCAACCUUCCAAAGGACACUCUUGCUUUCUAAAGUCUUGACAUCUUGUUCCCCUUGUGUCUAUUCCAAAUCUCAAGCCCAACUUUUUCUUUCUCACCAGUUAGCACUUUUCAGCUGGAAG
rnacentral:sRNA from 1 species